GUAGGGGGCUAGCGUUGUCCGGAUUUAUUGGGCGUAAAGAGCGUGUAGGCGGCCAGGUAGGUCCGUUGUGAAAACUCGAGGCUCAACCUCGAGACGUCGGCGGAAACCCCCUGGCUAGAGUCCGGAAGAGGAGAGUGGAAUUCCUGGUGUAGCGGUGAAAUGCGCAGAUAUCAGGAAGAACACCCGUGGCGAAGGCGGCUCUCUGGGACGGUACUGACGCUGAGACGCGAAAGCGUGGGGAGCAAACAGGAUUAGAUACCCUGGUAGUCCACGCCGUAAACGAUGGGUGCUAGGUGUGGGGAGUGUCGACUCUCUCUGUGCCGAAGCUAACGCAUUAAGCACCCCGCCUGGGGAGUACGGCCGCAAGGCUA
rnacentral:rRNA from 1 species